GGUGUGUUUAGUACUAUUGGUAUCAGUUUAAUCACUGUUACGCCCCCUAUCCGUUGAUGUGGAGCAAGACGCAGCAGCAGAAGAGGACUAAGCCGAGGAGGUUAUGGAAGAGGAUGGAGUAGAAGGAGUAGAGGAGGUGGCAGCGUACUGACAGAGUACACGCUGUAGGGCUGACACACCUGCUUGAAGAUAACUAACUGCUAUUCAAUCUAUAACAGUGAAAAAAAAAAUGUUUUUUUUAAAUCCAAGCUAUUGUGACA